UCUCUGGUAGCACAUCGGCUAAUGCACGAGCUUGUCAUUACAUUUGUCAGCGCAAAAUCGGGUUCGAUUCCCGGCUAGAGAG
rnacentral:tRNA from 1 species